rnacentral:rRNA from 1 species
GCAGUUAAGCGUGCUUGGGCGAGAGUAGUACUAGGAUGGGUGACCUUCUGGGAAGUCCUCGUGUUCCACCCG